UACGUAGGGUCCGAGCGUUGUCCGGAAUUACUGGGCGUAAAGGGCGCGUAGGCGGCCGCCUAAGUCAGACGUGAAAUCCCUCGGCUUAACCGGGGAACUGCGUCUGAUACUGGAUGGCUUGAGUUUGGGAGAGGGAUGCGGAAUUCCAGGUGUAGCGGUGAAAUGCGUAGAUAUCUGGAGGAACACCGGUGGCGAAGGCGGCAUCCUGGACCAACACUGACACUGAGGAGCGAAAGCCAGGGGAGCAAACGGG
rnacentral:rRNA from 1 species